GCCGGGAUGGUCGAAUGUAAUCGGUUAAGCCUUCGCCCCGGAUGGGCGAAGGUUGCGGGUUCGAUACCCCCUCCUGGCC
rnacentral:tRNA from 1 species